AGCUCGCUGUUUUUUAUAGUGGGUGGUUUCUGCCCGGUGCUUGAUGGAGUAAACGGCUGCGGUAUUCUGACCGUGCAAAGGUAGCAUAAUCAUUUGCCCUUUUAUUGGGGGCUGGUAUGAAUGGGAGCUUGAGGGCCCUGCUGUCUCCCCCCUUCAGUGUGGAAAUUGCUGUUUUUGUGAAGAAGCAGGGGUUAGGAAAAAAGACAAGAAGACCCUAUUAAGCUUUACUUUUUAGAUUUUAUCUUUAUUGUCCUUUGAGGGAUUGGUAGGGUAGUUGGCAAGUUUGGUUGGGGUAACCAGAAAGGAGGGAGGAUCCUCUUUUUGGGGGGCUAAACUUUAUGUUGGAUUAGGAACCAAAAAUUUUUGGUUGAAAGAAUUAGUUACUAUAGGGAUAACAGCGUAAUUCUCUCAGAGAGUUCUUAUUGAAGAGGGGGUUUGCGACCUCGAUGUUGACUUGUUGUUUCCUCUAGGAGGUGUAGUAGCUGGAAGGGUUAGUCUGUUCGACUGUUAAAGCGGC
rnacentral:rRNA from 1 species